rnacentral:rRNA from 1 species
GUCGAGAAUCUUCCGCAAUGCGCGAAAGCGUGACGGAGCGACACCGCGUGAUGGAUGAAGUCCUUCGGGGCGUAAACAUCUUUUAUAAAGGAGGAAAUUUUUGACGUUACUUUAUGAAUAAGGGGCUCCCAAUCUCGUGCCAGCAGGAGCGGUAAUACGAGAGCCUCAAGCGUUAUCCGGAAUCAUUGGGCGUAAAGGGUGCGUAGGUGGUUUGAUUAGUCUCCCGUUAAAACUUCGAGCUUAACUCGAAAAGAGCGGGGGAAACGGUCAAACUAGAGUAUGUGAGAGGUGUGUGGAACUCAUGGUGUAGGGGUGAAAUCCGUUGAUAUCAUGGGGAACACCAAAAGCGAAGGCAGCACACUGGCACAUCACUGACACUGAGGCACGAAACCUAAGGUAGCGAAUGGGAUUAGAAACCCUGGUAGUCA